CAAGAAGCUACGUCCAGCAGCUUUGUUUCAUUUUCCCACAUUUGUGCACUUUUACAGAUAUUAAACAGUUAAUAAACCACCAUUAUUACAUAUUUAAACCCGAAGAAACACUAAAUAGAUAAAAUAAAACAAAUCACACAACUCCACUCCUCGCAUUCCCGCCAAAUAGUCCCUCUGUUCUGUGAUUUGUUUCAUUGAUUAAACACUUUGUUUUGUAUAAACUAAUGAUGUUUUGUUUUUAAAACAUACAUUUGUAAUUUUGUAACUUUGUCAUCAUUAUGGAUACAAUAAAAAUACGAGUAAUUAUGGAAUACGAGUUCCGUCGCGGUACCAGUGCGACACAAACGGCUCGCAACAUUAAUGACGUUUACGGAAUGAAUACUACAAAUGAACGCACCACACGUUUCUGGUUUCAACGCUUUCGACAUGGAAAUUUUGAUCUAAAAAACGAACCCCGUGGACGCCCGAAAACUAAAGUCGACAACGACGAAUUAAAGGCAAUAGUGGAAGCUGACCAAACUCAAUCUACCGCUGAUUUAGCAGCAGCUUUCCAGACACAGAAAUGAAGGACUGCAAUGUCACUUGUAAUGAAAAAUUUAUUCUUUUUGAUGAUUGCAAGCUAUCAUGGCGAUGAUUAGACCCUGGUUCAACACGAAGGAUUACUGGUGGGCCAGAGGCUUUUCCAGUUUCACCGGGACGGGGCAAGCAAAGCCUCAGUCAGGAGGCAAGAGAUUAGGUAACAGCUGCCCAAGUGCCUCCAAAAACUAAACUCAAGGGCAGCUGCAUUGCAAAUGAAUCUGCUACCGAAUUGAAAUUGCGACCCACUCAGAAAAUCCAGUAAGAAACUCAGUGGGUUGUGCCUGUGAGACCGCAGAAGCCUAGACCCAGAAUGGCUAUCAAAACUCUUGUUACGUACCGAGCAUUCAAAGAUUGGCCAAUGUAAAAAAAAUACUAAAAAUAAACUUUAAUGUCAUAAAA